CGGCGGGACUACAGCUCCCAGCGUGCCCCGCGCCCGCCCCGCCCCGCCGCGGGGCAUUGUGGGGGCUGUAGUCCGUGCCCUGAGGAAGCCCCGGCGGGCUUGCCACCGCGGGGCUGCUUCGGGGCUCCCCGGGACAGCGGGGACAGGCGUGUCUCAAGCGGCUGUUGUGGGGCACCGGCGGCUGGGCCAGGCUGCCUCCCCCCGGAAGGGGCUGAUGUACCUCUCACGGAUUCCUUCCCCUGACGGCUCAGCGAGCUGGGCCCCGGUGCCUCCCCAUCGGGGAGGCCUGAGCACCGCUGCGGCCCAGCCUGGGGGGCAGGAGUGGAGAGCCGCUGCCCUGCCCCUGCCACAGGUGGGCCCCGCCUGGCCCCCAGCUCCGGCCACAGGCCAUCCUGUCCUCUCUGAGGAGCCAAGGGGCCUCUCCACACCUCGUCUUGUGGCACAGACCCUCCUAACACAACAAAACCCAAGCAUGGCUCCCAGGAGAUAUUGCAGCCUCCAUCCGUGCCACUCCAGCAGAGCAGCCCACAGAGGCACCGUGUCCUCCGCUCCCCACAACUGCCCACUGCAUCUGUCCUGGAGCUGCUGGUGAGCAGCCCGUCCGUGCCUGGGGACACUGCCAUCUGGACCUCCUGGGACAAGUCCUGCACCAGGAAGGGCUUCAGGAUUUGGCUGCAGCAGGCAGCAGCCACAGAAGGGAAUGUGGCCGGGACCACCCUGUGUGGUAGCCCAGCCUGUGCCACCCUGUGAAAUGGGGAGCGUGGAAGGGAGGACGCAGAGAAGAUGAUGGUUCCCCUGGGCCCUGCUCAUUGCAAGCACCAGGGUGGAGUUUGGACCUCCAGCUUUGCAAAUGCUCUUCUGAGACACUUUGGACGUUCCCUAAACCUCCUCCUUCGAACGAUUUUAAUUAUACUGGCUGCUGUUCAAAUAAUAAUGACAGGGGGAGGAAUAAGUGCUAAGCAGCAGCCUGUCACGCUUUACGAGGUGUUCUUGGGGGAUGCUGGGCCAGACAAGCAGCUGGCCCAGAGCCGUGCCAGCCGAGUGGGUGCAGGCUCCAUCUCACACUGCCCACCAAUGGGCUCUGGGAUCUGGGCUGGCCCAUGUAUGCGUGAGAGCAUGUGCAAGUGCUCAGGUCUCCUUUCUUUCACCCUCUGUCUCCUUUUAUUCGCCUCCAUAAAACAUAGGAAGUCCAAGCCAU